AUUGAACGCUGGCGGCAGGCCUAACACAUGCAAGUCGAGCGAGCGGCGGACGGGUGCGUAAUGUCUGGGAACCUGCCUGAUGGAGGGGGAUAACUACUGGAAACGGUAGCUAAUACCGCAUAACAUCAGAUGUGCCCAGAUGGGAUUAGCUAGUAGGUGGGGUAACUGCUCACCUAGGCGAAGAUCCCUAGCUGGCCUGAGAGGAUGAACAGCCACACUGGAACUGAGACACGGCCCAGACUCCUACGGGAGGCAGCAGUGGGGAAUAUUGCACAAUGGGCGCAAGCCUGAUGCAGCAAGGCCGCGUGGGUGAAGAAGGCCUUCGGGUUGUAAAGCACUUUCAGCGGGGAGGCGUUACCCGCAGAGGAAGCACCGGCUAACUCCGUGCCAGCCGCCGCGGUAAUAC
rnacentral:rRNA from 1 species